UACAGAGGCCCCAAGCGUUAGGCGGAAUCACUGGGCUUAAAGCGUGUGUAGGCGGACGCCUAAGUGUCUUGUGAAAUCCCACGGCUCACCCGUGGAACUGCUGGGCAUACUGGGCGUCUUGGGCCAACUAGGGGCAGCCGGAACAAGCGGUGGAGCGGUGAAAUGCGUAGAUAUCGCUUGGAACGCCGAAGGUGAAAACAGGCUGCUGGGGUUGUGCCGACGCUGAGACACGAAAGCCAGGGGAGCAAACGGG
rnacentral:rRNA from 1 species